rnacentral:tRNA from 1 species
UUCUGGUGGCUCAGAUGGUAAAGAAUCUGCCUGGAAUGCAGGAGAUCCAGGUUCAAUCCCUGGGUCAGGAA